AUCUUAAAUUGUUCCAUACGCAAUGACGACCCGACUGAAUUCUCUGUCGUGUGGUACCACGGUCAUGAUUUAUUAUCGGAGCGUAGGGCUCCUCGUAAUUUAUGCACACCGGCUAGCCACCAACCAACUGUCGUACCAUCGUUGCACAAUACCGUCUGCAAUUUCGUGGAACGUUCGACCGGUAACUUGCAAAACAAUCGUCCCUGCCAGCAACCUCCGAAAGGAAUCAUUUUGAUUCGCGGUUUCGUCCCGCAAACGCAUAUUCCGUUAAUUAACUCGACUGUGUGCCUGGACUGCGUUUCAAUUAUGAUUACUUUGAACGUGCGUGCUACGUGACCAGAAAUACAUACUUGGCAGAGCCUUUGAAUUUGAACAUCAUGCAGUAUCGCGUAGUAUCGAGCGCUUUCGUGGUCGAUGCGGUCGAAAGUCAGGGAAUUUAUCAUAGGAUAAUUAUACGACAUAUUCGUAGCUCCAACUAUAAAUACGUCAUAGUUAUAAUUCACAGAGUAAGACUUAGAGUAUGUUCAAAAUUGAAUAAAGUGAUUCUUACGUCUUUUUAUAUCUCGCAUAUAAAUUAACGGGACCGUUGAUAAGAAUACGUUGAAGAGGAUUUGUGAACGUCGAGGGUAAACCAAGAUUCUGGUCAGAGUUUCAGCUGUCAUGCGGAGGCCACGUUUUCGACGUGGAAAACAGGAAAAAAGGAAAUAGUGUACGUCGAGUUUGAAAUUUCGCUGACGAAGGAUGUCUCAUUAAGGUCGAUCGGUAAAAUCAAAAUAUACCAUGCAUGUGUAGUAAAAAAAAUGGAAUACACAUACAUGACGCAAACAUUGGACUAACGAAAAAUCAGAUAAAAAUUGGCGAAAAAAGUUUGGCGAGAAAAACAUUUUUUUGGUCGUUUAUUCCAUUGAAAAUCAAGAGAAAGACCUGAAAUAUCGCUGUCAUCUUAUGGAUUAUGACAAUCAACAUAUAAUACGACUCUUUUACACGAUAAUUUACCAACAAGUGAAAUUAGUAAAUUAAGUUAGAAGUUGUUAGUGACGUUCCUUUUACAAUUUUACGCCAAAUGAUUGUUAACGAUGAUAAUAUAAUUUGUACAAUUUUCUCGUACAACUUCCUUCGUUCCGUUACCAAACACGUCGCUGUCAUGCAAUAGGAUUUCUUAAAGAAAACGUUCACGCGCUAAGAGUCUUUCCGCGCUUUGAGCGCACGGAAGAACACUGAAUGAUUAUUGACUCAUGCUGAUUGAAUCUCCGUUUGGGGCUUCGUUGGAUGCUCGAUCGAGUUCAACAUAGCAUCGGACAUAGAAUCGCCCAACCGUGAACAUCAGUCGGGGAAUCAGUCUCGUCUAAUCACUCAAAACGUGCCUUCGAAUCGUUAGCAUCUUCUGCACCAGACGUGGAGUAAGAAUAGUUAAUUCUCUCAAUCUUCAGAAAGAGCAGUUUCACACAGUCUGCCUUCUGCGAUAACGUCUUCUCCACCAGACGUGAAGCACAGAACCGUUUCAAUCUCCGAACAUUUGCAGAGAGCAGUCCCAUCUGCAUUUCCAGGUUCAUCAACAUCUCCUAACGCUCGUGGACGCGACUUCAACCGCUCGGAGAGACAGAAUCGUUUCAUCAGUCGAGACGAUCGGUUGAUAGUUCUGUGCCAGAUC